rnacentral:rRNA from 1 species
GAUGAACGCUGGCGGCGUGCCUAAUACAUGCAAGUCGAGCGAACAGACGAGGAGCUUGCUCCUCUGACGUUAGCGGCGGACGGGUGAGUAACACGUGGAUAACCUACCUAUAAGACUGGGAUAACUUCGGGAAACCGGAGCUAAUACCGGAUAAUAUAUUGAACCGCAUGGUUCAAUAGUUAAAUACGGUUUUGCUGUCACUUAUAGAUGGAUCCGCGCCGCAUUAGCUAGUUGGUAAGGUAACGGCUUACCAAGGCGACGAUGCGUAGCCGGCCUGAGAGGGUGAUCGGCCACACUGGAACUGAGACACGGUCCAGACUCCUACGGGAGGCAGCAGUAGGGAAUCUUCCGCAAUGGGCGAAAGCCUGACGGAGCAACGCCGCGUGAGUGAUGAAGGUCUUCGGAUCGUAAAACUCUGUUAUUAGGGAAGAACAAAUGUGUAAGUAACUAUGCACGUCUUGACGGUACCUAAUCAGAAAGCCACGGCUAACUACGUG